rnacentral:rRNA from 1 species
GAUGAACGCUGGCGGCGUGCCUAAUACAUGCAAGUCGAGCGAACAGACGAGGAGCUUGCUCCUCUGACGUUAGCGGCGGACGGGUGAGUAACACGUGGAUAACCUACCUAUAAGACUGGGAUAACUUCGGGAAACCGGAGCUAAUACCGGAUAAUAUAUUGAACCGCAUGGUUCAAUAGUGAAAGACGGUUUUGCUGUCACUUAUAGAUGGAUCCGCGCCGCAUUAGCUAGUUGGUAAGGUAACGGCUUACCAAGGCAACGAUGCGUAGCCGACCUGAGAGGGUGAUCGGCCACACUGGAACUGGAACACGGUCCAGACUCCUACGGGAGGCCGCAGUAGGGAAUCUUACGCAAUGGGCGAAAGCUUGACGGAGCAACGCCGCGUGAGUGAUGAAGGUCUUCGGAUCGUAAAACUCUGUUAUGAGGGAAGAACAAAUGUGUAAGUAACUAUGCACGUCUUGACGGUACCUAAUCAGAAAGCCACGGCUAACUACGUG